GACAAACGCUGGCGGCAUGCCUAACACAAGCAAGUCGAACGGACAGAACAGGGAAGCUUUUCGGAGUGGAACUGGAAAGUUAGUGGCGGAUGGGUGAGUAACGCGUGGACAACCUACCUUGUAAAGGGGAAUAACCUCGAGAAAUCGAAGCUAAUACCCCAUAAUAACCUUGCUUCGCAUGAAGUAAGGAGGAAAGGCGGCCUUAGCGCUGUCGAUACAAGAUGGGUCCGCGUCUGAUUAGCUAGUUGGUGAGGUAAAGGCUCACCAAGGCGACGAUCAGUAGCCGGCCUGAGAGGGUGAACGGCCACAUUGGGACUGAGACACGGCCCAAACUCCUACGGGAGGCAGCAGUGGGGAAUCUUCCGCAAUGGGCGAAAGCCUGACGGAGCAAUGCCGCGUGAGUGAAGAAGGCCUUCGGGUUGUAAAACUCUGUCCUUAUCGAAGAGAGAGUGUUGUAGUAACUGACAAUACUAGGACGGUAGAUGAGGAGGAAGCCCCGGCUAACUAUGUG
rnacentral:rRNA from 1 species